rnacentral:rRNA from 1 species
AUGACCGACCAGGACAAGGCCAUGGAAACUGCCAUAUCUCAAGUCCUGCCCAACACGAUGCAUAGAUGCUGCAAAUGGCACGUCCAACGAAAAGUGCGUGAGAAGUUGGGCAGGAUAAUGAGUAGGGAUGAGUAUAUCAAAGAAAAGGAAUAUCAAACGGAGUCCAAACGGAAUAAAACCUUCGACAAAGUUAUUUUUGGAACAGAACCAAUCCCAGGAACUUGGAGUGCAAGCCAAGGGAUCAUCGAGGAGGCCACGAGACAGGGGGUGCGCCCUGCCCUCUCGUGGGCCCCUCGAGGCUCCCCCGACCGACUUCUUUCGCCUAUAUAA